rnacentral:misc_RNA from 1 species
UACGGAGGGGGCGAGCGUUGUUCGGAAUUACUGGGCGUAAAGGGCGCGUAGGCGGUGACGUUAGUCGGGCGUGAAAGCCCCGGGCUCAACCUGGGAUGUGCGUUCGAUACUGCGUUGCUGGAGAGCGGAAGAGGGUAGUGGAAUUCCCAGUGUAGAGGUGAAAUUCGUAGAUAUUGGGAAGAACACCAGUGGCGAAGGCGGCUACCUGGUCCGUUUCUGACGCUGAGGCGCGAAAGCGUGGGGAGCAAACAGG